UCCCGCGUAAUUUAAGCAUAUUAAUAAGCGGAGGAAAAGAAACUAACAAGGAUUCCCUUAGUAGCUGCGAGCGAACAGGGAAGAGCCCAGCACUGAAUCCUGCGCGCAAAGCACGCGUUUGGAAAUGUAGUGUUUGGGAGGGCCCGUUUAUCUCGUUGGUGGGCGCCCGUCCAAGUCCGUCUUGAAAGCGGCCACAGCCCGUAGAGGGUGCCAGGCCCGUAUGACGGCGCAUACAAACACCAGCGAAAGGGUCUCAGAGUUCAAGAGUACGUGAAACCGUUCAGGGGUAAACGGAUGAGAUCUGGAAAAUCGAAGCGUGACAUUCACGUUCGCACACUCGACGUGUACUAGGACUCUGUGUCGAUGGUUGUCGAGGCUACCGUUUCGUGUCGUAAGGCGCGUGCGUGUUUGUCUUUGCAGUUACGGCAUGUGUUUUAUACCGUCAGUGUCGGGCUGCACUUGUCACGUUGUAGUACGUCGCGACCCGUUGGGUGUGUGUCGACUAGGGUCCGUCGUGGAGCUGGUUUCGAUGUGUGUGUUUGUUGCCACAAUAUUUGUUGUGGUGGCCCUCCAUCUUGUGCCAACCGUACGGUUACCCGACACACUUUAGCUCGACGGUAUGAAACUGUGUGAUGGACUGUGAACGUGUUAAAAGCAUCCGAAGAAUGGGUGUGGUACAAUUGCAAAAUUGUGCACGCAAUCCAGUCCGGCGACGAUCUAACCGGAUACUUUUCCGACCCGUCUUGAAACACGGACCAAGGAGUCUAACAUGUACGCGAGUCAUUGGGAUCGCAAUAAACCUAAAGGCGUAAUGAAAGUAAAGGUCGCGGCGCAAGCCCGGCCCAAAGAGGGGUGAUAUCUGUGGUAUUCGACUACUUGUAGUUGAUACCUAUUCGGAUCGCAACCCCGGGGCGUCUCGUUGUCAUUGCGACACAGUAGGCGCACCCAGAGCGUACACGUUGGGACCCGAAAGAUGGUGAACUAUGCCUGGUCAGGCUGGCACUCGGAGUUUACUGUGUGUGUGUGUGUCAUUUUGUUUUAUAGCGAAAAAUGCACACAAUACCAGUCUCAUCUGGUAAAGCGAAUGAUUAGAGGCCUUGGGGCCGAAACGACCUCAACCUAUUCUCAAACUUUAAAUGGGUGAGAAAAUUGACUUGCUUAAAUGCAUGAAGUCAAUCUAAAUUGAAAAAGUGGAUGAACGAGUGCCAAGUGGGCCAUUUUUGGUAAGCAGAACUGGUGCUGUGGGAUGAACCAAACGUCAAGUUAAGGCGCCUAAAACGAUGCUCAUGGGAUACCAUGAAAGGCGUUGGUUGCUUAAGACAGCAGGACGCGUUGUUGAUGUGCAGUCGUAGAAACAUGAUUUUUUUAAAAAUAAUCUGUUUGACCACAUCGGGCGAAAGGGAAUCCGGUUCCUAUUCCGGAACCAGGUAGCGGAACCGACCAUGCGGGCCAAUGCAGACCCUUGACUCACCGUAUGUACCGCCUGCGCCAGUUGUAGUAAAAUACAAUCGGUUAGUAGGAAAAGGCAUGCGCGUCUUGUGGCGAGCAACUCGUCGGGGUAACCCAAAAGGACCCGGAGACGCCGCCGGAUGAUCGAGGCAGAGUUUUCUGUUCUGCAUAAGCAUUCGAGUUCCCUGGAAUCGCCUAGCGCGGAGAUAGGGUUUGGAAUGCGAAGAGCACCGCACUUGCGGCGGUGUCUCGAUCUAUCUCGCGGACCUUGAAAAUCCGGGAGAGGGCCACGUGGAGGUGUCGCGCCUGCUCGUACCCAUAUCCGCAGCAGGUCUCCAAGGUGAGCAGCCUCUAGUCGAUAGAA
rnacentral:rRNA from 1 species